UAUGACGGGUAUCCGGCCUGAGAGGGUGAUCGGACACACUGGAACUGAGACACGGCCCAGACUCCUACGGGAGGCAGCAGUAGGGAAUAUUGCUCAAUGGGCGAAAGCCUGAAGCAGCAACGCCGCGUGGAGGAUGAAGGUUUUAGGAUUGUAAACUCCUUUUGUUAGAGAAGAUUAUGACAGUAUCUAACGAAUAAGCACCGGCUAACUCCGUGCCAGCA
rnacentral:rRNA from 1 species